GGCUCCGCCGCGUCUCCUGGUGCCCGCUCGCGCCCUUCGGCGGCCUCUGUCCUUCUCAGUCCCUUCCCAAAGCCGGGGACUCUUUUCCGGCGGAGGGAUCCGGGGUGGUGCCUCGCCCUCCCCUCACAGCGCUCCCGUAGCUGCGGCGCGCGGGACGUUCGGUUGUGGUAGCGAUGGCGGCGGAGCGGCGGCGAAGGGCGGCGAGCGCGCUGGGCGAGCUCCUGCGGCGAAUAUAUGAAGAGGGAAGGGAGAGCGUCCCUGACUGUCCAUAUCUCUACGAGACUGAUGUGGAGAUCUGUUUGGUUGGUGGCAGUUGCAAAAGUCCUGUUGAAAGAUUUUGGAGUGGGAGCAGCCCAAUGUAUAUUUUGCAGAAGGCAACACCCAGUAAAGAAGGUGACUCCAUGGAAGAAUCAAAACCAGAUGAAGCUCUUCUUCCCUCUGAGCUUUUGCCAAAGGAGAGUCCUGGACCAGCAGCUCUUUCUGUGGGAAGAGCAAAGCAGUUGGUUUCCUUAUAUGCAAUGGUGCAAAAUCCAAACGUGACCCACCUGGGAAUAAGGGACCUGGUGGUGCUUCCUCCCCUCUGGAUCAGGUGUGAUGGUUCUGAUCCUGAACACACCUGUUGGGUUGGAGCUGAGCCUCUCAGAGCUGGAAAGAAAAUCACAGGGAUCACGAUUUACAUGGUGUCAUGUGAUGGUCCUACAGCUGAUAAAACCUGUUUUGCAAACCUGGAAGAGCUCAAAAUGGAACAUAAAAGAAGACAUCAUUCGUCUGUUGUGACAACAAAAGGAUUUGCUCAGUAUGAACUGAUCCAAGUUGCUGCAAUGGAGGACACCAUUGUAGAAUCUGGAGGCAAUAUCUAUGUUGAUAUUACAUGGAAUAUUGUUGAUAAGAUUCUGGAGACUCCCCCACUGAUUUCAGCUGCCACUCUGAACAUUGCCCUGGAGUCUGGGGAUCCCAGGAGUCCUGUGUACCAGGUGUAUCGGGAGCUGCAGCUUCUCCUGGCUUUGGCUGAAGGUUUGAAGACGGGUGUGACUGAGUGGCCUGAGCCUCUGGAGUCUGAAUCAGCUGUUGAACUGGUCCAGCAAUUCCUGACUGAUUUAAAGAAGAAGCUGGAUGGAGAUUGUGGGUCUGGGAGCAAGGAUGAAACAGAGAAAAUCAAAUGUGACACGGCUGCAGUGGACAGUUACAUCAAAUCCAUCUUCAGUGAGAGAGGAGACCUGGAUUUUGCUGAACAAUUAUGGUGCAAAAUGAGAAGUGUCAGUUCCUACCAGGAGUUGAUAGACUGUUUCACCCGGGUCAUAAAAUCCCUGGAACGUGGUGAGAUCCAGCCCUGGAUUCAUCAAGGGAGCAGCAGCUUCCUACGGAAGUUAAUCCAGCAGUCCUACCAUGGGAGGAUGGAGGUGGUUUCCCUCAGUGGCAUCACUCCCAUCCAGAUGCUCUUUGAGAUUGGCCUGGAUAAGCUGAAGAAGGAUUAUGUCAGCUUUUUCAUAGGUCAGGAACUUGCAACAUUAACCUACUUGGAUUACUUCACUUCCACAUCAGUGGAUCUACAGGAACAAGUUCAUCGUGUUCAGAAGCUUCACCAUAUGCUGGAAAUAAUGGUCAACUGCAGAGUCUUACUCCAGUUCAGACAUGAGAACCUCUUCCCUUUGACACAGAUUUGCAUGAAGUAUUACAAGGAAAACCCUCUCAACGAGAAACACGUGUUUCAGCUGCCCAUCAGACCAGCUCUUGUGAAGAAAUUCUACCAAAAUGAACACCCUGAGUUAUGGAAGGUGGAGAUAAGCAGUGGGCAUGGAGCAAAGGAGGUGAAAACAAUGUGGCAAGUCAGUGCUAAUCCUCCUGUGGAACAUGUGGCAUCAAACCAUUCAGGUCUCUUCUCUGACUCCACAGUGAAUGGGAGCCCUGAGGAAAGGCUGUAUUUUAUCACAGUGACCAAGUGCAGUCAGGUGCAUUUCUCAUAAACCCAGUGGGCAUAAUCCGAGGCCACGAGAUGGACAAGAGGUAGUGAUUCACUUUGAGCUCCUUCAGUAACUGGAUGUCAUCCUGGGAAAAGAAAAUCCCACACAUCCCAAGCCUGAGCAGAACAACUUCAGAGGAAUUCCUUAGGGUGAUGUCUGUGGAAAACCCAGCUCUCCCAGUCCGGAGGUUCAGCUUGAGCUCUUCAUUCUUUUAGUUCUAACCUCUUAUCUCCAGAUAUACACCAGGGCUGGGUCACCCCUAACAGAAGACACCCUAAAACUGAGAAAAACAGGAAAUUUUGGGAGUAAGUGAAGUGAGGAUGCCUUGGUGCCCACCUCUGCUGGCCUCCCACCGUGGAAACACGAGUCUUGCAUCCUGGGGAUUCUGUGGGCAGCUUCUGAGGCCAGUCUCCAUGGGAAGAAAAGCUCCAGAGUGUGGAAGAUCUUGUGUUUGAAUCCUGAGCUUGUGAUCCCUGAGAUCCCUGAGAUCCCUGAGAUGAGCUGGAGAUGGCUCCAUGCUAAGGGUGGGCCUGCAUUUGAUGGGAGCUCUGCAAGCUGCUGCAGGCUACCCCUGAUUGGAAUUCCCUUGGAUUAGCCUAAUUGCAGGCUCUGCCAUCAUCUGUUUGCAAUCACAAAGAGGAAGCUUCUGAAGCUUGGGAAUGAGAGAAAAUGAAGUGUCCUGACACAACUUCAAAACAUCCAGAAUGCUCUUGGAGGUUUUCCCAUCGCUGUUUCUGUCAGAUCUUCUCCUCUGAAAACAGUCUCACUGAGGGAGGUUCAGAUCAGCAACACGGACCAGAAGAAUGUCCAGAGAUCAGACCAGCAGUGGCAGUUGGCCUUGAGAAUGAAUUCCAGCCACAAUCCCAUCCCAUGGCUGAUCCAGGAUGCUUGGGAAGCAGGCACAUGGUGGCCUCCAUGGAUGGCAACCAGCAGCAAACCCACAGCUGGACCUACAGGGAUCCAGCACAACAAAAAAAUCCGAAGAUCAGUUUUGACAGAGUAAAAUACUACAAAUUACACUGUCAGAUGACCUCAUCACCCAGGGCUGGCACGCUGGAUUGCAACACUGCUGGAAGGAAAAGCAGGAGCACUACAGGAACCUCUGCUCCAU